UACGUAGGGGGCAAGCGUUGUCCGGAAUUAUUGGGCGUAAAGAGCUCGUAGGCGGUUUGUUGCGUCGGCCGUGAAAACCUGCAGCUUAACUGUGGGCCUGCGGCCGAUACGGGCAGACUUGAGUUCGGUAGGGGAGACUGGAAUUCCUGGUGUAGCGGUGAAAUGCGCAGAUAUCAGGAGGAACACCGGUGGCGAAGGCGGGUCUCUGGGCCGAUACUGACGCUGAGGAGCGAAAGCGUGGGGGAGCGAACAGG
rnacentral:rRNA from 1 species